rnacentral:rRNA from 1 species
GAUGAACGCUGGCGGCGCGCCUAACACAUGCAAGUCGAACGGCACCCCUCCUCGGAGGGAAGCGAGUGGCGAACGGCUGAGUAACACGUGGAGAACCUGCCCCCUCCCCCGGGAUAGCCGCCCGAAAGGACGGGUAAUACCGGAUACCCCGGGGUGCCGCAUGGCACCCCGGCUAAAGCCCCGACGGGAGGGGAUGGCUCCGCGGCGCAUCAGGUAGACGGCGGGGUGACGGCCCACCGUGCCGACAACGGGUAGCCGGGUUGAGAGACCGACCGGCCAGAUUGGGACUGAGACACGGCCCAGACUCCUACGGGAGGCAGCAGUGGGGAAUCUUGCGCAAUGGGGGGAACCCUGACGCAGCGACGCCGCGUGCGGGACGGAGGCCUUCGGGUCGUAAACCGCUUUCAGCAGGGAAGAGUCAAGACUGUACCUGCAGAAGAAGCCCCGGCUAACUACGUG